CUCUGGUCCCUACCAGCUGGCUGGCGUGGGUUUCUUCCCUUCUAAGCUUGGCCUAGAAACUCAUAUUUUAUUCAUGAAAAUUGAGGCCCUGGGAGGCCUUGGCAUAAACAGGAUGUAAAUAUUUGCGGGCAGUUGAAGGAGCAGUGAUAUCUGAGCAGGGGCUGUCCAAAGCUAGGGCACUGAGACAAUGCUUACUUGGGGACCCGCCCACCUCCACCUCUGUUAAGGUUGAGGGUGGAGGACUGAGCCGGAGGGACUGGCCUACUGCUUUCAUUGUUGGGGUGCUCGGAGCUGGAGCUCAGGUCUAAAGUAGUCCACGCUGUUCUGGAACUCACAAUAUAGUCCUUCUACCUCCACAUCCCAAGUGCUGGAAUUACAGUAUUGGCCACCACGCCUCAGCUGAUUGCCACCUAACAGCCUGGCCAGGUAGAAUGGCUUUGAUUCUGAAUCCUGGCUGUUCCCAGUGUCAGCUGUGGGAACUCUUGCACAAAGUCCCCAAGGUCUCUCCCUGAACAGGCAGUAACGCCUACAGGAUCAUCAUGUCCACAUCUAUGUUCUGCGGCUAGCUUCACUCAGUUUGCCUUUCUGAGGUUAACUUGGCCUGGCUGGGAGCUUCCUGGGGAACACCAGUGGUCUGGGACAUGCAGAAGAGGCUCUCCCACGCUCUUAAUCCCAACACUCAGAGGCAGAGGCAGGUGGAUCUCUGUGAGUGCCAGGUCAGCCCUCAGCCUGUUUGCUCCAUCAUUCACCCAAGAAGGUUGCCUGAAACAUAAUCUGCUGUAGUCUGUCUUUCUGUCAUACUGCCACCCAGGAGAUGGAGGCAACUUGGACUACAUAGUAAGACCUACUUGCAAAAAGGAAAAAGAAAAAGGCACCGAAAUUGAAGUCUGUUUGGGAUCUGGAAGAGCAGCUAAGGUUUACAGCUUAUACCCUGCACCUAAGAAGCUAAGUAUGAGGAAAACCUUGCUUCCUGUCAGGCUGUGUGCCUUCUUGGAAUGCACGCCCUCAGGGCAGCACAGAAGGUGGUGAGUCUAUGCGUCCCUGUGUGAGCACAU
rnacentral:lncRNA from 1 species